rnacentral:sRNA from 1 species
UUGUAAUGCCAGCGCCCAGGCUCGAUUC